rnacentral:rRNA from 1 species
CAGCAGUGGGGAAUAUUGCACAAUGGGCGCAAGCCUGAUGCAGCCAUGCCGCGUGUAUGAAGAAGGCCUUCGGGUUGUAAAGUACUUUCAGCAGUGAGGAAGGUGGAGUCGUUAAUAGCGGCCUCAUUUGACGUUAGCUGCAGAAGAAGCACCGGCUAACUCCGUGCCAGCAGCCGCGGUAAUACGGAGGGUGCGAGCGUUAAUCGGAAUUACUGGGCGUAAAGCGCAUGCAGGUGGUUUGUUAAGUCAGAUGUGAAAGCCCGGGGCUCAACCUCGGAAUUGCAUUUGAAACUGGCAGACUAGAGUACUGUAGAGGGGGUAGAAUUUCAGGUGUAGCGGUGAAAAUGCGUAGAGAUCUGAAGGAAUACCGGUGGCGAAGGCGGCCCCCUGGACAGAUACUGACACUCAGAUGCGAAAGCGUGGGGAGCAAACAGGAUUAGAUACCCUGGUAG